rnacentral:ncRNA from 2 species
UACAGAGGGUGCAAGCGUUGUUCGGAAUUACUGGGCGUAAAGCGUGCGUAGUCGGUAUUGAGAGUCGCGGGUGAAAUCCCAGGGCUUAACCCUGGAACUGCCUGCGAGACCUCAGUACUAGAGUGUGAGAGGGGAUAGUGGAAUACCAAGUGUAGCGGUGAAAUGCGUAGAGAUUUGGUGGAACACCGGUGGCGAAGGCGGCUAUCUGGCUCACAACUGACGAUCAGGCACGAAAGCGUGGGGAGCAAACAGG